CCUGCCACAGAUAUCUUUGGUUUAGCUUAUCUCUUGAUCUCUUAGACCUUAUAGCAUUCUGUAUUUACUCAUUAACAUUAACACAUGCAUCAACAUGCAAAUGGUACAGAUAGUCCAUCAUAAAGGCUCAUGCAAAGAUUUUAUUUUUAAAAUAAAUUGAGUGCAGAUCUUUAUUAAAAUUGAAUAUGUAAUCAUCAUGUGCUAGCAUAGAUAUAGAAAUCAAAUUUCUACUAGCUAUAGCUACAUAAAAAUAGUCUCUUUAGAACUAAACUAAAUCCUGAUAGUAAUCGCAAAGGAUAGGUGCCUAUGGCCAUAAUGGCAAUUCUUGCUCUAUUGUUGACUCUAAGAGUAACUUCACCUUUCCUAAGCUCUCUACUUUUCUUUAGACCUUGCAUUGAAGUGCGUAAAUAUGCACUAGAAUCCGAAUAUAAAUCCAACUGAAAGAAGAGAAAAUCAUAAGAUUAAUUUCUAUAAUGAGCGAGUCAGACAUACCUUCAAAAGAUAUGUCCUUCUCUUUGCUCUUCAGGCUUGCCAGAACAGAGCCUCUUGAACUCAUCAAGGUCCCUUCAACUGUUACCGACAUGCUAAGUAAUUCAGACAGGGUGUUAGUAGUCUAAUUCAUAUGGUAGUUUACAAUAAACUAUCCAUAUGAAUUGAGAAGGGAUUGCAGGAUCACAUCUGCCUGAAAAUUUUUGUCCAUGAUCAUAUCGAGCUUCUGAAGCUCCUCGAUAUUCUUGAUCAUUGUCAAACAAUGAUCAUGGACCGAUUGCCCAUCAUGCAUCUUCGCUCUGAAGAGUCUCCUGGAGAUCUCAAAGCAAGCUAUGUGAUUCUGCUCACUAUAUAACUCUUAUAAAUGAGUCAGCAUGUCCUUGACAAUCUUGAUAUCUUCAUGUUAGCACAAAAGAUCAUUAGACAUGGAUGCCAAGAUGUAGCACCUAA
rnacentral:lncRNA from 1 species